AACUAUCCCACAGAAUUGUUUGUAUUAAAAACAGGGCAAGAGUUGUAGGAAUUAUGAUCACCAAAAAAAUUGGAGGAUAAACAUUCUUCUUGUCAAGACACUUCUUUGGGAAACCCCGU
rfam:Rhinolophus ferrumequinum clone VMRC7-305L23, complete sequence.